rnacentral:piRNA from 1 species
AGCCUGUACCUUUGGCUGUAAUAGAAGGU